GAUGAACGCUGGCGGCGUGCAUAACACAUUCAAGUCGAACGGACUUUAGCUGAUUAAUCCUUCGGGAAGCGUUGGUUAAAGUUAGUGGCGGACGGGUGAGUAACGCGUGAGCAACCUGCCUGUGUGAGGGGAAUAACAGUUGGAAACGGCUGCUAAUACCGCAUGAAGCAUGAUUAUCGCAUGGUGAUGAUGCCAAAGAAGCAAUUCGCACACAGAUGGGCUCGCGUCUGAUUAGGUAGUUGGUGAGGCAACGGCUCACCAAGCCGACGAUCAGUAGCCGGACUGAGAGGUUGAACGGCCACAUUGGAACUGAGAAACGGUCCAG
rnacentral:rRNA from 1 species